UACGUAGGGGGCGAGCGUUGUCCGGAAUUACUGGGCGUAAAGGGUACGUAGGCGGUUUCAUAAGUCAGGUGUAAAAGGCAAUGGCUCAACCAUUGUAAGCACUUGAAACUGUGAAACUUGAGUACAGGAGAGGUAAGUGGAAUUCCUAGUGUAGCGGUGAAAUGCGUAGAUAUUAGGAGGAACACCAGUGGCGAAGGCGACUUACUGGACUGUAACUGACGCUGAGGUACGAAAGCGUGGGGAGCGAACAGG
rnacentral:rRNA from 1 species